CUAACUGCACUGUUGUCGAUUUUUUUUCUGAUUUUUCUGCUAAGAUCUAAACUUAGGUCUCUUCAUGAAAAAUGUUCACAUAUUUCUUUAUUACAACAUAUAAGUUUUUCAGAUUUUUUGGAGAUAAAUAGAUAGGUGAAAACCUCUGUGAAUUGACCUCAUGUCUUGUCUGCUUCUACUGGAACCCGAAUUGGAUUUGCUCAAAAUUGAAUGUGCAAUUAUGAUUUCUUGACCUUGAUGUCUUCAUGAAAGUCAUAGUAUAGUUCAUUACCUUUUCAAAAAGGUAUAAAUCAUGUCAUUCGGUCAUCAUUUGCAUGGUCAAUUGCAUGCUCAAUCUUGAAUCCUUAUUCUGUAUUUGUUGAUUUCAAGGAACCCGAUCUGUUUUCCCGUUUUUUUAUUUUUUUCUUUGGAAUCACAAUUAGGUUUGGAUUUUUCAUGAAAAAUGUUCAUCAUGUUGUAUACUAUUCACAUGAUUUGUAUCACAUUUUUUGCCAUGUCAUGAGGAUAGUAAACAACAUGUAUCUUGUGAGCUCAUUUGCUGCAAUUCAUUACUGAUAUGCAUUAUUGUAGAAACCUUUUUAAUUGACCAUGAAAUUGAUGUUAAUCAAACUCGAUGCCUUCUAGAAAUUCUUAGAGAACGUCUUAACCUUUCUAAUGAUGCCGAGAUUGUCUCAUUUGCAUGUCCAUAGGCCCCUUUAUUAUUUUUUAUGAGGUUCCCCUGAAAUCUAGAAAAUUGUGAAUUCGGAAUGCUUGAUGUGCCAAAUCUGUGUUUACGAUUUGCUGAUUUUGUGUGAAUUUUUCGGUAAAGAUUUUGAUGAUGAGUUCUCAUGGACUUUGAUUGUCAUUCCCAGACCUAGGUUGUGACAAAAUUUGAGAAUUUUUGGACAUCAUUAACAUGCUCAAAUUUCCAUGAGAUUGCUUUGAAAAUCUGUUCCUAUGUUCUGUUCUGAUGCACUUCUUCGUGUUAUGUGAUUUUUGUAAAUUCAUGUGUAGCUUAUCUUAAGGAGUUUUAUUCACAGAAAAUGUUUGUUGUUGUGUGCUUGAUGUACCAUAAAUUUUCCAGAACAUUUUAACAAUGGGUCCUUUUCCAAUUGAAUGCAUCUUGUAUCCCCUGUUCUGCUGUCCUUUGUUUUUUCCUUUAUGAAUUGUCUUUGUUUUAGGAUAUUUUAGAAAAUAAUGCAUGCUGAACCAGUUUUUUUAAUGCCUUCACAAGUUUUAAUACUCACAAUUUAAUGAUUUUCUAGUGCAUGUGUUUGUGAUUGGCGCAUGAUGAAUUGAAUGAAGUGACCCGAUGUCGGUUCACUAAUUUUAGUGAUUGGAUGAGAAUCAAGAUCUUUCGACCUGCUUGCAUGUUUAAUUCAUCGCUAUGCAUGUAAUGUUUAGAUGGAUGCCUAGGGAUGGUGCAUGAUCGUGGGUCCAAAUUGGGGAUUACAUAUAGAAACUGAUUUAGGGAUUCAUGGCAUUAAUUGCUGUUGGUGAAUACCAAUGGUAGUUAAUAACCAUGAAUUGUGUCUAAAACGAACACGGGUAGAUAAUAAAAGGUAUCAAUGCAUGUUUGAACAAAGGCCGACCCCGAGGCCACCUUUGAAAUUCUUUGUGCCUUGUUUGUUAUCUUUGAUUGACUUGUGAUUAUGUUGAUGUCCAUUCCGACUCUAUUCUUUGUAUACGGCGAUGGUCGAUGUCCAUUCCGAUCUAUUUUCUUGUAAAAAUUCAUUCAUUACCCGAUAUAUGUCUCGGGUUUCUUAUAUGCGUUGUAUAAACACCUGAGGAGUUGCGGGUUUUUCUUUCUUGCACUUAGAAUUAGCUAGUUCUUUCAAUA